rnacentral:rRNA from 1 species
GAUUCCCUACGGGGUGCAGCAGGCGCGAAAACUUUACAAUGCGGGAAACCGUGAUAAGGGAACUCCGAGUGUCCGUAAAUGCGGACUGUCCGUAUGUCUAAAAAGCAUGCGAAGAAAGGGCCGGGCAAGACCGGUGCCAGCCGCCGCGGUAAUACCGGCGGCUCGAGUGGUGGCCACUAUUAUUGGGCUUAAAGCGUUCGUAGCUGGAUCGUUAAGUCUCUUGGGAAAUCUACCGGCUUAACCGAUAGGCGUCCAAGGGAUACUGGCGAUCUAGGGACCGGGAGAGGUGAGGGGUACUUCAGGGGUAGGAGUGAAAUCCUGUAAUCCUUGGGGGACCACCUGUGGCGAAGGCGCCUCGCCAGAACGGCUCCGACAGUGAGGGACGAAAGCUGGGGGAGCAAACCGGAUUAGAUACCCGGGUAGUCCCAGCCGUAAACGAUGCGCGUUAGGUGUAUCGAUGACCACGAGUCAUCGAGGUGCCGAAGGGAAACCGUGAAACGCGCCGCCUGGGAAGUACGGUCGCAAGGCUGAAACUUAAAGGAAUUGGCGGGGGAGCACCACAACAGGUGGAGCCUGCGGUUUAAUCGGACUCAACGCCGGAAAUCUCACCGGAUAAGACAGCUGAAUGAUAGUCGGGCUGAAGACUCUACUUGACUAGCUGAGAAGUGG